rnacentral:rRNA from 1 species
UAGGGAAUCUUCGGCAAUGGACGGAAGUCUGACCGAGCAACGCCGCGUGAGUGAAGAAGGUUUUCGGAUCGUAAAGCUCUGUUGUAAGAGAAGAACGAGUGUGAGAGUGGAAAGUUCACACUGUGACGGUAUCUUACCAGAAAGGGACGGCUAACUACGUGCCAGCAGCCGCGGUAAUACGUAGGUCUCGAGCGUUGUCCGGAUUUAUUGGGCGUAAAGCGAGCGCAGGCGGUUAGAUAAGUCUGAAGUUAAAGGCUGUGGCUUAACCAUAGUACGCUUUGGAAACUGUUUAACUUGAGUGCAAGAGGGGAGAGUGGAAUUCCAUGUGUAGCGGUGAAAUGCGUAGAUAUAUGGAGGAACACCGGUGGCGAAAGCGGCUCUCUGGCUUGUAACUGACGCUGAGGCUCGAAAGCGUGGGGAGCAAACAGGAUUAGAUACCCUGGUAGUCCACGCCGUAAACGAUGAGUGCUAGGUGUUAGACCCUUUCCGGGGUUUAGUGCCGUAGCUAACGCAUUAAGCACUCCGCCUGGGGAGUACGACCGCAAGGUUG